rnacentral:rRNA from 1 species
GUGGGGAAUAUUGCGCAAUGGGCGAAAGCCUGACGCAGCCAUGCCGCGUGGAUGAUGAAGGUCUUAGGAUUGUAAAAUCCUUUCACCGGUGAAGAUAAUGACUGUAGCCGGAGAAGAAGCCCCGGCUAACUUCGUGCCAGCAGCCGCGGUAAUACGAAGGGGGCUAGCGUUGCUCGGAUUUACUGGGCGUAAAGGGCGCGUAGGCGGACAUUUAAGUCAGGGGUGAAAUCCCGGGGCUCAACCUCGGAACUGCCUUUGAUACUGGGUGUCUUGAGUAUGAGAGAGGUGUGUGGAACUCCGAGUGUAGAGGUGAAAUUCGUAGAUAUUCGGAAGAACACCAGUGGCGAAGGCGACACACUGGCUCAUUACUGACGCUGAGGCGCGAAAGCGUGGGGAGCAAACAGGAUUAGAUACCCUGGUAGUCC